GAUGAACGCUAGCUACAGGCUUAACACAUGCAAGUCGAGGGGCAGCACAGUGUAGCAAUACAUGGGUGGCGACCGGCGCACGGGUGCGUAACGCGUAUCCAACCUUCCCGUUACUCUUGGAUAGCCUUCCGAAAGGGAGAUUAAUACAAGAUGGUAUUCAAAUUCCGCAUGUUAUUUGAAUUAAAGAUUUAUCGGUAACGGAUGGGGAUGCGUGACAUUAGGUAGAUGGCGGGGUAACGGCCCACCAUGCCUACGAUCAGUAGGGGUUCUGAGAGGAAGGUCCCCCACAUUGGAACUGAGACACGGUCCAAAACUCCUACGGGAGGCAGCAGUGAGGAAUAUUGGUCAAUGGACGAGAGUCUGAACCAGCCAAGUAGCGUGAAGGAUGACUGCCCCUAAUGGGUUGUAAAACUUCUUUUGUUUGGGAAUAAAGUGAGGGACGUGUCCCUUUUUGUAUGUACCAUUCGAAUAAAGCAUCGGCUAAAUUCCGUG
rnacentral:rRNA from 1 species